GGAAUAUAGCUCAGUUGGUAGAGUGCUUGCCUUGCAUAUACAAGGCCCUGGGUUCAAUUCCCAGCACCA
rnacentral:tRNA from 1 species